AGAGAUAUAUAAUUUAAUUAUAUUAUUUUCUGGUGGCACAGAAUCGGAGGCCCCGACUGUUUACUAAAAACACAAUUCAGAGCAAUGAUUAAUAUCAUAGUAUUCUGGAUGAAAUUUGCUCAAUGCCAUUAAUACAAGAGAGGUGAUGGGAUAACUGUUACUAAUCGAAAUUCUGGUGAAUAGCGGUCUUAACUAUGAGGAUCCUAAGGUAGCAAAAUCAGUUGGCCAUUAAAUGUGGUCCGGUAUCAGUAGUGUAACGAUGGUCUCACUGUCUCUACAACUUGCUCAGUGAAAUUGAAUUACCCGUGCAGAUGCGGGUUGCCUCCAGGUGGACGGGAAGACCCUAUGCAGCUUUACUGUAGUUAGUUAUCAUGUUAAUCUAGAACAACCUUGGUCAAAGUGAUUAGGGAAGUCGAUAGACGCAAAGUGGAAUACCUCGAGACUAGGGUUGGGUUAAUAUUUACCUUAUACUUUAUAAGUAGAGGGAUAGGUGACUAAUUGGCAGUUUGACUGGGGCGGUCGUUUUUAAAAUAGUAUCAAAAUGCAUCCAAUGAUUUAAUUAGCCGGAAGGCUUAUAAUGUUAAUCUUUCGCCUCGGCUAGCCGCUGGCGCUAAAAUUAAUAUACAGACAUAAAUAAUCAAAAUAAAAAAUAAUUUUUUGAUGAGUAAUUUUUUAUUACUUUACUUGGGGCUCGGUUCCCGCUGCCCCUUGUAUUUUUCAAUCUCAAUUUUAAAGGUAUAGCUAGAAAUUUGAAUGGAGGUCAAUCGACCAGUGAGAAAGGUCGUAAUGGUGCAAUGGCUUACAGCAUACCUAACUGAAAGACUUAGGAGUCGCACAGAUACGUAAGUAGGGCAUAGUGACCCCUCGCUAUAAUAUGGAAUA
rnacentral:rRNA from 2 species